GACAGAGGGUGCAAACGUUGUUCGGAAUUACUGGGCGUAAAGCGUGUGUAGGCGGCCGCGCAAGUCGGAUGUGAAAGCCCCGGGCUCAACCUGGGAAUGGCCGUUGAAACUGGCGAACUGGAGUGUGGCAGAGGGGGGUGGAAUUCCGCGUGUAGCAGUGAAAUGCGUAGAGAUGCGGAGGAACACCGAUGGCGAAGGCAGCCCCCUGGGCUGACACUGACGCUCAGGCACGAAAGCGUGGGGAGCAAACAGG
rnacentral:rRNA from 1 species